AACCAUCACGCGCUUUUUCUCAAAAGUCUCUAAUUCAAAUAUUUAUCAUUUUUUCAUUACAGAUGACUGGAUUUGAGCUUUUCUGUUUCAUUCCCAGUUCUUAGCUUUAUCAUCCAGCCAUCACCUAUGCAAUUAAUGGCCAGACUUGAAACUGAUAGCUCGAUCCACUCGAUUGUGAUAGCGCCGGUAACGUCAAAAAGUCAAUAUAAGCGUGGGCUGCAUGUUUUUAGGCGUCUUUUUCCACCUACGACCCUCGGAGCUUCGCGAAGUCUUUUUUGCUUAUCGGCUCCCUGUUUGUGUGACUUCAUUUUGUAGAAUCUUAUGUUUCAACUUUUCAAGAUCUCCAACAAAUCAAUUUCUUUCGGCCCCUCAAAAGUUCUCGUUAUUUUUGGUUCCCCACAAAAGUCUACCUUGUUUGUGCCAUCUGAUGACGUCCAUCUGUAGACGCGACAAUGUGAAAUACAAAUGAAUUGGACUUUACUUACCUCGAUAUCUUUCGCUCAUCUCAGAGAAAAGCUUUGGCGAGUACUUGUAACGGCUGAUCAGAUCCUCAACUUCAUUCUCCAGGAACCCGAAGUACCCGAAAUAGGAGUCGUAGCUGGAAAAGGGGUACGUCACGUACUUCUGCUGUAGGCCCUCCAUGAGGAUGUCCUUUGCGAUUGGCAGCAUACCCAUGAUGACCGCCUUCUGCAUGACCUCCUCGGCCCUAAAGGCCGUGUUCAACGCGGUCUUCAAGAAGUAGGCCAUCUGGUCGUAGUACCCGUACUGGAACGCCUGCACGAGAGGACUAUCGUAGCCGUCUAUCAGGAGCAUGACCUUGGACUUGCAACGGUCCUUCAGGUUCUCCAUCAAAUCCACGAUCGCGAACGCCGUUUCAGACUCUGUGCCGUUACCUGCCAAGUUGAAUAUUAACAUAAUUAUGAUUAAAAAAGACACAACUUGUGUGCUUACGUGCGAGAGUCACCAAUGCAUGCUCAAAAUGUCAUUAUAUAUUGAUGAAAAUAUAUAUAUUUUAUAUGUA